AACCGCAUUACCGUCCAAGCUAACCACACAGCGCAUCUCUCUUCCUUCCCUUCGUCGGUUGCCAUCCUCUCCAUUCCCCUCUCCGCCUCUAGGCUUGGUCCACUCUUCUCACGAAUCCACCGCUAAAUCGGGCUCGUUGGCGGCGAGACGACCGGCGGAAAUCAGCGCUGAUCCGGUGUACUGCUUGUGGGGGAGUACUGGUGGGCGUCGAUGGCGGGGUCGUGUGGAUCGACACUCCCAACGUGCUUUCCAUGGCGAGAUCCCUCCCUCCACCCCCUCAUAUCACCUCCUCAUCCCCCACCACCCUCGCCAUGGCCACAACCGCGGCCUGCGCGGCCUCCCUCCUCCGCUGCAGCGUGCGCGGGUCCGGCCACCUGCAGGGCGCUCUUCCCAACCUCCGUGACGUCUCUGCGCGCGUACCCGCCGCUGCUCCUCACGUUCCGCCGCCCCGCAGCAUCCACCACCGCGACCCCGCAGAACGCGGCCAUAGAGGACGAGGAGCAGGACGAGGUGCCCGUCCAGUUCGACGACAUCAACGACAAGUCGACAAUUACGAGGAUGGGUUCGUUCGGUGGCGCGACCUCCUGAUUCGACGCGUCCGAGGCCGGUGACCGUCACGGGAGGGCCGCUGAGGGACCGUCGUCGACUCUUCAUCGCGAAUCGACGCGUCCACAGUGUGCACCACAGCCGGUUGAGGUCUGUUAUUGUCUGCUUGUUACCGCAUCUCUUCAUGUGCAGAGGAAGAUGGUGCUGCUGAAGACCAUCGGGAAGUACAGGGUCGGGCCGGACCAUUGGAAAGGAUGCCUUUGCCAAGGUCAGGCUCGUCGUCGACGUAGAGACCAGCGGCACCGUCGCCGUGAAGUUCAUCGACAGGAGCACGGUUUUCUGGAACAACCUCAUGUAUCAGUUUUUUGAAGGUGAAGAGAAAGAUCAGCGCGAAGCUUCUCAAUCACCCGAACAUAGUUAAGAUACACGACCUAAACAGAUGGGAUUCGUUGGUCGCGUGAAGGGCGAAGAUAUGCCUGGUGAUGGAGUAUGUUCCAGGAAGGCAGCUAUCCUACAAGCUAGUAAGAUAGCCAAACCGUUCUUGAUUAUAGUCUCAAAGACUUGGUUAAACCAGUUAAAGCAUAGCAGGGUAUUAUCUUAUGAAGAUUUCAUAAAUUCCAAAAUUUCGAAGAUAUUGAAAUGCUCCUGGGAGAUUUCAUGUAUCCCAUGCUUCCUUACAGGUUCUUUGCGCAUGAAGUUUGUCAUGUUUCGUGUCAGUUCGAGAUGUUCAUGGGUUGUCACAGUUCACAUUUCUAGUUCCAUAGUCUAGUUGUAAGUUUGGUUCCUAAAACUAGGCAAAACCUGAUGCUUUUGUAAAUGCUCUGUACUGCAAGUACAAAUAUAUACAUCCUACUAUGCAAAUCGUGAUGUAUCUUUUA